CCUACGGGUGGCAGCAGUGGGGAAUAUUGGACAAUGGGGGCAACCCUGAUCCAGCCAUGCCGCGUGUGUGAAGAAGGCCUUCGGGUUGUAAAGCACUUUAAGUUGGGAGGAAGGUUCGCUGGCUAAUAUCCAGCGGAAUUGACGUUACCAACAGAAUAAGCACCGGCUAACUCCGUGCCAGCAGCCGCGGUAAUACGGAGGGUGCAAGCGUUAAUCGGAAUUACUGGGCGUAAAGCGCACGUAGGUGGCUGAGUAAGUCGGAUGUGAAAGCCCUGGGCUCAACCUGGGAAUUGCAUUCGAUACUGUUCGGCUAGAGUACGGUAGAGGGAGGUAGAAUUCCUAGUGUAGCGGUGAAAUGCGUAGAUAUUAGGAGGAAUACCGGUGGCGAAGGCGGCCUCCUGGACUGAUACUGACACUGAGGUGCGAAAGCGUGGGGAGCA
rnacentral:rRNA from 1 species